rnacentral:lncRNA from 1 species
GGGAAGGGGACACGAGCGCCGUGUGCACACGCCGAACUAGACCAGAAAAAUGGGGUUCGAAUCCAGCCCCGCCACCAGUGGGGGGCGCCACUGGCUGAGCUUGAAUCCUGCCUCUGUCACCGAAUAGCUGGGGGGCCCUGGGGGGGCCCUUUACCGCCUUCUGCCUCAGUUUCCUCUUCUGCUGCACAGCGUCAAUAACAGCGUCUGCCUCCCGGGGUUGGGAGGAUUCAGAGAGAUCAAUAAGGCGCCCACCGGACUUUCCAGGUGCCACAGAAUGACCAGAGGAGGAGGGGGAGGAGGGGGAUGGUCAGGCUGCCCCUCCUCCUACGCAGACGUCCCGCGGUUCCCAAAGGCUUCCCGUUCUUCACUGUCAAAUUCCAGUCAAGAGACGUGAGGUACCUACUAGGUGCGAAACCUGGGGCUGCGCUUCUUGUUCCCAGAAAACGCCUGAUUGGAUUGGGGGCGGGGGGACUCCCGGGGUGGAAACUCCCUCCCUUGGCCCUCGUCCAUAACGAAGAGGGUUGUCUAAUGACCCUGAGAGGCUUGGAUCAGCGAGGUCCGUGCCAGCUGCCCAUCCUGGUCCAUCCCGGUCUGCCUUGUUCUGGUCUGGUCUACUCUAGUGUGCCCUGCUCUGUUGGCUCUGGUCUAGCCUGUCUGGCUCUACUUGGGUCUCCCCGGCUCUGUCCCAGGUCCUGGAUCCACUCUAACACCCCUCGCUACGUGCGGGCACCUGCCGACCUCCAGGCUGGCUUCCAUCUCCAGAUGGUCAGAGGGCCCAUCUGUGAAGGGGCAGAGGCUCGGGGUCCGAGGAGACAACCCCCACGUGAACGGAGCUCACGUCCGGGACACCCGGACCUCGUGGAGAGCCUCCCUCCCGCUCCUGGCUUGGCCAGCAGAGCAUCCCUUCGGAAGAGGCCACGAGGGGGAGCAUUCACGGGAGAGCCCAGUAGCGUUGGGGGGCUCCGGGGGCAUUUACAACCAUCCCCAAUGGCAAGAGAAGAGAACAUGGCCAACGCCCUGGAAGGCUCUCUCGGCAGCCUACAGAAGGGCCCACAAACCCUCGCUGAGGUCUUCAAGAUCCGCUUCUGCGCACUCCAACUGAGGCGUCCUCCAGCUCCCGACCUCGGCUUCCUAAGCCCGAAAUCCUGGGGGGGGGGGGAGAUGCCUCCUCUGAGCUGUGGGACCCCGACCUCCUGCGGGGACCAUCUCCAACAUGCUCAUGGACGCGUCGCACAGAAGAGUCUCAGUGACACAUGGACCCAGCCAGUGAUGAGCAACUGCUUCGAGAGCGCCUUUGGUUGGAAAAUGCCUUCAACAUGUUCAGAGGGUGACUGAACAGAGCAAACUCUCUGAUAUUGUUUCUCUUAUAUUGUGG